rnacentral:lncRNA from 1 species
AGCCCUUAAAAGGAACAGGCUAGGAAAAGAGCCAGAUUUGUUCUUCGUCCUGGCUGACCUGUUUAGUCUUGAUUCCAGGUGCUUUCUUCUUCCCAUUCUCCAGAGGAUGGCAGGCAAAGCUGGUCUCUAAGGCUCUACUCUCCCACCCUUUUCUGGAGUCACUAGGACACAUGAAUGUUGGUUUUGGGAUCCUGUAGAUGAGCUGUUUGAGGAUGGCACACCUCUGGUUUAGGCCACUCAGUUAAGAAUACCUGUUAUGAAGAGGCCACCAACAGAUUGGGAAAGGAUUUUUACCAAUCCUAAAUCUAAUAGGGGACUAAUAUAUAAUAUAUACAAAGAGCUCAAGAAACUGGACUCCAGAAAUUCAAAUAACCCCAUUAAAAAUGGGGUACAGAGCUAAACAAAGACUUCUCAACUGAGGAAUACCGAAGGCCUGAGAAGCACCUGAAAAAAUGUUCAGCAUCCUUAAUCAUCAGGGAAAUGCAAAUCAAAACAACCCUGAGAUUCCACCUUACACCAGUCAGAAUGGCUAAGAUCAAAAAUUCAGCUGACAACAGAUGCUGGCGAGGAUGUGGAGAAAGAGGAACACUCCUCCAUUGUUGGUGGGAUUGCAAGCUU